GAAGUACUCCCUCCGUUCCAAAUUAGUUGACUUGAAUUUGUCUAAAUACUGAUGUAUCUAUACUUGUUUAGUGUCUAGAUACAUCCGUAUCUAGAUAAAUAUGGGUCAAGCAAUUUGGAAUGGAGGGAGUAGCAA
rfam:Triticum aestivum genome assembly, contig: Triticum_aestivum_CS42_TGACv1_scaffold_434664_5DL